rnacentral:rRNA from 1 species
AUUGGACGCUGGCGGCAUGCCUUACACAUGCAAGUCGAACGGCAGCACGGGUGCUUGCACCUGGUGGCGAGUGGCGAACGGGUGAGUAAUACAUCGGAACAUGUCCUGUAGCGGGGGAUAGCCCGGCGAAAGCCGGAUUAAUACCGCAUACGAUCUACGGAUGAAAGCGGGGGACCUUCGGGCCUCGCGCUAUCGGGUUGGCCGAUGGCUGAUUAGCUAGUUGGUGGGGUAAAGGCCUACCAAGGCGACGAUCAGUAGCUGGUCUGAGAGGACGACCAGCCACACUGGGACUGAGACACGGCCCAGACUCCUACGGGAGGCAGCAGUGGGGAAUUUUGGACAAUGGGCGAAAGCCUGAUCCAGCAAUGCCGCGUGUGUGAAGAAGGCCUUCGGGUUGUAAAGCACUUUUGUCCGGAAAGAAAUCCUUGGCCCUAAUACGGUCGGGGGAUGACGGUACCGGAAGAAUAAGCACCGGCUAACUACGUG